GCCUUCGUGGUGUAAUGGUUAGCACACUCGGCGCGUAUUCAAAAGAUCCAGGUUCGAGUCCGGGCGAGGACA
rnacentral:tRNA from 1 species